UUAUGCUUCAAAAUAAAACAAAUAAAAUUUAAAAGUAAGGUAUCGUAAACUAUUAAAUAAAGUGCUAUUGAGACAAAAAUAAAUAAAUAAAUAAAUAAAAUAAAGGAAAGAAAGAUAUAGUUGUCUUUUAUCAUGUGCUUUUGUGUUUAGUUUGUUCCACAGAUUGUAGAGACUUGUUGUCGUCUGGUGGAGGAGAUAGGUUUGGAACAUACUGGCAUCUACAGAGUGCCAGGGAACAAUGCCAAGGUGUCUUCCCUUCAGGACCAGCUCAACAAGGGCAUGGAUAUAGACACUACUGAGGAGGUGAGGAGGGAGUGUGACUAAGACAGAUAGCAAAUCUGCAGGUAUAAAUCAGAACAGUAAUGACAUUGUUUGUUUACAGAAAUGGCAAGACCUGAAUGUCAUCAGCAGUCUUCUGAAGUCCUUCUUCAGGAAACUCCCAGAGCCUCUUUUUACAGAUGAUGGAGCCUAUAAAUCUGGCCCUGGUGUUUGGUCCAACACUGGUGUGGACCUCAGAAGACAACAUGAUCGAAAAUGGUCCAAUAUUAAAAAAAAAAAAAAGAAAUCCAUCCUCAUUUUCACUCUCUGUGUAAAACAUUUAAUUUCAAAGGGGCAUUACCUCUUGCAGAAACUAAAGUAAAUGCCCACUGCUGUGGCUAACUUCAUCACACCAUAUCAAUGCCUCUUUUACAGCAGUUUGAGUGUCUGAUACUCGAGAUGGCAAACACUGUGAUAGAGCUGUAUAUGUUCUAGCUCAAGUCAGAUCCUGAGGCAGAAAAAAUUGAAACAACACAACCACCAAAGUGCCUUUAAGAGUAGUCAUUUCACUCAGUGGCCAUUUUUUAAAUGCCUCUCGGGGAUGCAAGUGCAGCUCCUAUCUCUAUGAAUGGGGAAACAUUAAAUUCUCCAAAACUGUUCUCCAAGUUUACGAUUAAAUAUCAGAUUUAAAAUCAUCAAUAGUGUUAGCUCCAAUAGCGUUAAAAAAGCUUUUAUUUUAACGGCAGCUGCAGAGCCAUGAUGACUUUACUGAUUAGUGAUUGGCUCUUUUACUCAGAAGGUGGGGCUUCCUUCGAUAGAGUGGCCAUAUUGAGCAUUGCAUUUUUCCCCAUUCAAAUCUACUGUAUAUGAGUGACACGUCUUGGGUAUUCUAUUAGGACCAUGUGAUGUCACAGUGCUGUAUCGCUGCCAUGUUUGUGUCCAAGUCACAGCAGCCACAACUACCAGAAGAAUUAAACACUCCUGGAAGGUUCCCAACAAGGUUACAAUAUGUUU
ensembl:lncRNA